rnacentral:rRNA from 1 species
GUUAGGAAUAUUGGACAAUGGGCGAAAGCCUGAUCCAGCCAUGCCGCGUGAACGAUGAAGGCCUUCGGGUUGUAAAGUUCUUUAGCCGAUGAUUAUAAUGACUGUAGUCGGAAAAUAAGCCCCGGCUAACUUCGUGCCAGCAGCCGCGGUAAUACGAAGGGGGCGAGCGUUAUUCGGAAUCACUGGGCGUAAAGCGUGCGUAGGCGGUUUUGUAAGUUAGGAGUGAAAGCCCAGGGCUCAACCUUGGAAUUGCUCUUAAAACUGCAAGGCUCGAAUCUCGGAGAGGAUAGCGGAAUUUCCAGUGUAGCAGUGAAAUGCGUAGAUAUUGGAAGGAACACCAGUGACGUAAGCGGCUAUCUGGACGAGUAUUGACGCUGAGGCACGAAAGCGUGGGGAUCAAACAGGAUUAGAUACCCUUGUAGUCC